GACAGAGGAUGCAAGCGUUAUCCGGAAUGAUUGGGCGUAAAGCGUCUGUAGGUGGCUUUUUAAGUCCGCCGUCAAAUCCCAGGGCUCAACCCUGGACAGGCGGUGGAAACUACCAAGCUGGAGUACGGUAGGGGCAGAGGGAAUUUCCGGUGGAGCGGUGAAAUGCGUAGAGAUUGGAAAGAACACCAAUGGCGAAAGCACUUUACUAGGCUAUUACUGACACUGAGAGACGAAAGCUAGGGUAGCAAAUGGG
rnacentral:rRNA from 1 species